rnacentral:rRNA from 1 species
GCUAAAACAUAGCCCGAAUACCAAAACAAAACCUCCAUAAAACAAAACAAAUCAUUUGACAAAACCAGUAUAUGAGAUAGAACAUUAAUUUCGGCGCGACAAAGAAAGUACCGUAAGGGAACUGUGAAAGAACAAUGAAACAAAUAAAGCAAAAAAAAGCAAAGACCAAUCCUUGUACCUUUUGCAUCAUGGUUUAGCAAGAAAAUACAGACAAAGAGAACUUAAGCCUGUCCACCCGAAACCCGGUGAGCUACUACGAGGCAACUGAAAGAGUGAACCCGUCUCUGUGGCAAAAGAGUGGGAAGACCCCGUAGUAGAGGUGAAAAGCCAAACGAACCUGGUGAUAGCUGGUUGCUCAAUAAACGAAUUUAAGUUCAACUUUAGGCUAACAAAGACCGAAUAUUGUCCACACCUAAAAGCUAUUCAAUGAAGGUACAGCUUCAUUGAAACAGGAUACAGCCUGUACUAGAGAGAAAAAAUCUAUUUAUUACCCCCAGUAAGCCUUAAAGCCGCUAUCAGACACAAAAGCGUCACAGCACAAAACAAUAAAUCCCACUAAAAACCCUGACCUCCUAGUCUCACACUGAGCCACCCUAUAAACAUAGGCAAACUAAUGCUAAAACUAGUAACAAGAGUCCCUCUCUCUUUAGCACAUCUGUGCCCCAGAAAUAGAAAAUCUACUGGCAAUUAACAGACCAAAACAGGCACCACACAAACCGUGCCCUCCACCUGUCAACCCAACACCGGCGUGCUACUAAGACAGAUUAAAAGUCAUAUAAGGAACUCAGCAAACCCCCUGUCCCAACUGUUUACCAAAAACAUAGCCUUUAGCUAAACAAGUAUUAAAGGUCCCGCCUGCCCAGUGAAAUAUUUUAACGGCCGCGGUAUUCUAACCGUGCAAAGGUAGCGUAAUCACUUGUCUUCUAAAUAAAGACUAGUAUGAACGGCUAAAUGAGGACAAAACUGUCUCUUAUGACUAAUCAGUGAAACUGAUCUACCAGUACAAAAGCUGGUAUUGCUACAUAAGACGAGAAGACCCUGUGGAGCUUAAAACAAACCACUACCCCCUAAGACCCCUAGUGUACUGUUUUAAGUUGGGGCGACUUCGGAACAAAACAAAACUUCCGAGCAUAGAUCCACCAGAUCUGAGCCAAGGCCUACAAGCCAAAAUAAAAACUGACCCGGCCCAAGCCGAUCAACGAACCAAGUUACCCCAGGGAUAACAGCGCUAUCUUCUUCAAGAGUCCAUAUCGACAAGAAGGUUUACGACCUCGAUGUUGGAUCAGGACACCCAAGUGGUGCAGCCGCUACUAAAGGUUCGUUUGUUCAACGAUUAACAGUCCUACGUGAUCUGAGUUCAGACCGGAGAAAUCCAGGUCGGUUUCUAUCUAUGAGUUAUCUUCUUCAGUACGAAAGGACAAAGAAGAAAGGACAAACAUUAGGCACACGUCCUAAACUGACAGGCUGAAUAAAACUAAAGCCAACAAAACUCUACAACAGCCGCAGAUAACGGCUU